GCGGCGUUCACCUGUAUAAAGAGAAGCCGGGUUCUUUCGCUGGAUUAUUUCCUCCCGAGCUUCUGGUGCGAUACAGCGGUAGACGCUGGCUUGCUGGUUAAAUUACUGAGGUGAUCAGGUCGCGUGAUUGCUACAGCGCGGCUGUUUUUCUUUCCUUUGCUCCAGCCGUGGUGAGGAGACGCGUGAGUGCAUCCGCCGUGCAGUACAGCGCCUCCAAGUUCUGGGGGUUUGAUUGCUGCCGUGCCCUCUCGGGGACCAACCGCCUGCUUUGGCUACGUAGAGAGUCGGGCGCCUGCCCUGCUGCUGUCUUGUUUUGUUGAUUUUGUUAUAUUACGGUUAAUCUGUCGGCGGCCCAGUUUUGCCCUGUAGCUUGCCUUUCCACGCCCUUUUGGACUAUUGUUCGCUCCAGCUUUUGUGGCUGGCCGGGGCGAUUCUCGGCCGUAUACUGGGCCGGUUAUACGAACUGGUACUGCCUUUCCCCUUUCUCCCAGCUGUGGGAAGUUGUGUGAGACCGAGCAGACCAAGGAUAAUCGGACCCAGCACCAGCUGUGGGCUGGUUCGCCGAGUGAAAGUAUUUUUAAUCAGUGCUCUGUGGUGUAUAACUGGCGAACUGAGGAUUUACCAGCGGCCGUGGGACCUCAGGUGGUGGGUCGUUUUCCACACUUCUUUUGUUGUACAGCACCAGGUGAAUAGACUAUAGUAGGUUUUUUUGUGUGGUUCUUUUGGUCCACCGCUGCUGGUAAGUCCCAGUUGUAUUUAUUUUUAUUGUAAUUUGGGAUACCGUUUUAGAUAUUCAGUGUGCUGUUGUUUUGUUUUUCAUUUUACAUUAAUA
ensembl:lncRNA